GAUGAACGCUGGCGGCGUGCCUAAUACAUGCAAGUCGAGCGAACGGACGAGAAGCUUGCUUCUCUGAUGUUAGCGGCGGACGGGUGAGUAACACGUGGAUAACCUACCUAUAAGACUGGGAUAACUUCGGGAAACCGUAGCUAAUACCGGAUAAUAUUUUGAACCGCAUGGUUCAAAAGUGAAAGACGGUCUUGCUGUCACUUAUAGAUGGAUCCGCGCUGCAUUAGAUAGUUGGUAAGGUAACGGCUUACCAAGGCAACGAUGCAUAGCCGACCUGAGAGGGUGAUCGGCCACACUGGAACUGAGACACGGUCCAGACUCCUACGGGAGGCAGCAGUAGGGAAUCUUCCGCAAUGGGCGAAAGCCUGACGGAGCAACGCCGCGUGAGUGAUGAAGGUCUUCGGAUCGUAAAACUCUGUUAUUAGGGAAGAACAUAUGUGUAAGUAAAUGUGCACAUCUUGACGGUACCUAAUCAGAAAGCCACGGCUAACUACGUG
rnacentral:rRNA from 1 species